rnacentral:misc_RNA from 1 species
GAUGAAGAACGUAGCGAAAUGCGAUACUUGGUGUGAAUUGCAGAAUCCCGUGAACCAUCGAGUCUUUGAACGCAAGUUGCGCCCGAAGCCUCGGCUAAGGGCACGUCUGCCUGGGCGUCACGCAUCGCGUCUCCCCCAAACCGCCAAGGCGGAGGGGAAGGAAGAUGGCUUCCCGUGCCUCACCCGGGCGCGGUUGGCCUAAAUUUGGAGCCCGCGGCACUUAGCUCUCGCGGCGAUAGGUGGUGAACAAGGCCUUGGCCGUACAAACAACCCGCUGCGAAGCUCUAUGUCACGUGCGCUCGUCGGACCCUUUGAAGUUGCCUUUGGUGACUUAAAACCUUUGCGACCCCAGGUCAGGCGGGGCUACCCGCUGAAUUUAAGCAUAUCAAUAAGCGGAGGA